rnacentral:rRNA from 1 species
CCCUUAGAUGUUCUGGGCCGCACGCGUGCUACACUGAGUGGAUCAGCGGGUCAGGUUGCGCGAAAGCGUUUCCUAAUCUUUAAAUCCGCUCGUGAUGGGGAUUGACGGUUGCAAUUUUCUGUCAUGAACGAGGAAUACCUUGUAAGCGCGGGUCAUCAUCCCGCGCUGAAUACGUCCCUGCCCUUUGUACACACCGCCCGUCGCUCCUACCGAUUGAGUGGUCCGGUGAGGCUUUGGGAUCUGAGCGGAAAGAGCGUUUCGCUGUUUCUGCUCGGAAAACUCAGUCGAACCUUAUCAUUUAGAGGAAGGAGAAGUCGUANCA